rnacentral:rRNA from 1 species
UCCGCCCUACGGGGGGCAGCAGUGAGGAAUAUUGGUCAAUGGGCGCGAGCCUGAACCAGCCAAGUCGCGUGAGGGAUGACGGUCCUAUGGAUUGUAAACCUCUUUUGUCAGGGAGCAAAGGGCGCCACGUGUGGCGUUUUGCGAGUACCUGAAGAAAAAGCAUCGGCUAACUCCGUGCCAGCAGCCGCGGUAAUACGGAGGAUGCGAGCGUUAUCCGGAUUUAUUGGGUUUAAAGGGUGCGCAGGCGG